GGAAAAAUUAAUAAAAUAAAAAAUAAUAAAAAAAUUUUUAAUAAUAAUUAUAGGGGGUUUAAGUAAUUUUAUUGAAAAAAUUUUUUAAUUUAUAGUUUAUUAGUAUUGUAAAAGAAUUUUGAAAUAAUUUAAAAAUUAAUUUGAUAAAAAGUAAUUUUUGUUUAGUGUAUCUUGUGUAUCAGAGUUUAUUAAAAGUUUUUAUUAGAAAAAUAAUUUCUCGAAUUUGAAAGAGAUAAUUAAUUAAUAAAGUUAUUGUAGCAAAAAUAUUUUUAAUAAUUAAUUUGAAAUGAAAUGUUAAUCGUUUUCAAAUAUAUCUAGUUUUUUUAGAAAAAAAUUUAAUUUUUAAUUAAUUAAUAAACUUAUUAAUUAAUUAAUAAGUUUAUUAAUUAAUUUUAUAUUUUAAGGGAUAAGCUUUAAUUUAUAUUGAUAUAAUUAAUUUGUUAAUGAUUUGAAAAUUAUAUAAUUUAUAUUGUUAAUAAAUUUUAAUUUAUUAUAAAUAAUUUCAUUAUUAAAUAAAAUUUUAUAAUAAUUUAUAUUUUUAUAAAAAAAUAAAUUUUAAUUUUAUAAAUUUAGAUAUAAUGAUAAAAUUAGUAUAUAAUAUUUUAAUAAAUUAAUUUAUUAUAAUAAUUAAUUAAAAGGAAUUCGGCAAAAUUUUAUAUUCACUUGUUUAUCAAAAACAUGUCUUUUUGAAAAUAAUAUAAAGUCUAAUCUGCCCACUGAUUUAAUAAUUGAAGGGCUGCAGUAUAUUGACUGUACAAAGGUAGCAUAAUCAAUAGUCAUUUAAUUGGUGACUUGUAUGAAGGAUUGGAUGAAAUAUAAACUGUCUCUUAAUUAUAAUAUAAAAUUUAAUUUUUUAGUUAAAAAGCUAAAAUAAUUUAAAAAGACGAGAAGACCCUAUAGAGUUUUAUAAAUAAUUUAAUUAAAAUUAUUUUUAAAAUUAAUUAAUUAAAAUUAAUUUAUUUAUUUUAUUGGGGUGAUAAAAAAAUAAAUUUAACUUUUUUUAUAGAUUUACAUAAAUAAGUGAUAUUUUGAUCCAUUAUUAAUGAUUAUAAGAUUAAAUUACCUUAGGGAUAACAGCGUAAUUUUUUUUUUUAGUUCAAAUAAGAAAAAGAGUUUGCGACCUCGAUGUUGGAUUAAGAUAAAAUUUAAAUGCAGAAGUUUAAAAUUUUGAUCUGUUCGAUCAUUAAAAUCUUACAUGAUCUGAGUUCAAACCGGUGUAAGCCAGGUUGGUUUCUAUCUUUUAAUAAAUAAAAUAUUUUAGUACGAAAGGAUUAAAUAUUUAAAUUAAAUUUAUGAAUAUUGAAUAUU
rnacentral:rRNA from 1 species